CACACUGGAGCAGUUCAUGAAGAGCUGCAGCCCAUGGGAAGGACUCACAUCAGAGAAGGUUCAUGGAGGACUAUCUCCUGUGGAAGGGACCCCACGAUGGAGCAGGGGAAGAGCAUGAGGAGUCCUCCCCCUGAGGAAGGAGUUGCAGACACAACAGGUGAUAACUGACUGCAACCCCAAUUCCCAGCAUCCCUGUGCCACUGGGGGUGGAGGAGGUAGAGAAAUCAGGAG